UACGUAGGGUGCAAGCGUUGUCCGGAAUUAUUGGGCGUAAAGAGCUCGUAGGCGGUCUGUCGCGUCGGCUGUGAAAACCCGGGGCUCAACCCCGGGCCUGCAGUCGAUGCGGGCAGACUAGAGUGCGGUAGGGGAGACUGGAAUUCCUGGUGUAGCGGUGAAAUGCGCAGAUAUCAGGAGGAACACCGGUGGCGAAGGCGGGUCUCUGGGCCGUAACUGACGCUGAGGAGCGAAAGCGUGGGGAGCGAACAGG
rnacentral:rRNA from 1 species